UACAGAGGGGGCCAGCGUUAUUCGGAAUCACUGGGCGUAAAGCGCACGUAGGCGGACUCUUAAGUCGGUGGUGAAAUCCUGGAGCUCAACUCCAGAACUGCCUUCGAUACUGAGAGUCUCGAGUCCGGGAGAGGUGAGUGGAACUGCGAGUGUAGAGGUGAAAUUCGUAGAUAUUCGCAAGAACACCAGUGGCGAAGGCGGCUCACUGGCCCGGUACUGACGCUGAGGUGCGAAAGCGUGGGGAGCAAACAGG
rnacentral:rRNA from 1 species